GAUGAACGCUGGCGGUGUGCCUAAUACAUGCAAGUCGAACGACCACACAGUGAGCUUGCGCCCCUGACGGUAGCGGCGGACGGGCGAGUAACGCGUGGAUAACAAACCUCUUUUACUGGGGGAACUACGGGAAACCGGUGACAAUAAUAGAUCAUACAUCCAACCGGUUGGUUCAAUGGUUAAAGACGCUUUUCCCGUCUCUAUUAGCUGGAUCCGCGUCGCAUUAGCUAGUUGGUAAGGUAACGGCCUACCAAGGCAACGAUGCGUAGCCGAGCUGAGAGGGUGAUCGGCCACACUGGAACUGAGACACGGUCCAGACUCCUACGGGAGGCAGCAGUAGGGAAUCUUCCGCAAUGGGCGAAAGCCUGACGGAGCAACGCCGCGUGAGUGAAGAAGGUCUUCGGAUCGUAAAACUCUGUUAUUAGGGAAGAACAAAUGUGUAAGUAACCAUGCCCGUCUUGACGGUACCUAAUCAGUAAGCCACGGCUAACUUCGUG
rnacentral:rRNA from 1 species